rnacentral:rRNA from 1 species
UUCCGGUUGAUCCUGCCGCCGGCCACCGCUAUCAAGUUCCGACUAAGCCAUGCGAGUCAAGGUAUCGUAAGAUGCCGGCACACUGCUCAGUAACACGUGGACAAUCUAACCUUGAGUAAGGGAUAACCUCGGAAAACUGAGGGUAAUACCUUAUAAUUGCUUAAAACUGGAAUGUUUAGGCAAUAAAAACUCCGGUGCUCAAGGAUGAGUCUGCGACCUAUCAGGUAGUAGGUGGUGUAAUGGACCACCUAGCCUCAGACGGGUACGGGCCCUGGGAGGGGUAGCCCGGAGAUGGACUCUGAGACAUAAGUCCAGGCCCUACGGGGCGCAGCAGGCGCGAACACUGUGCAAUGCGCGAAAGCGCGACACGGGGAGCUUGAGUGUCUUGGCAUAGCCAAGACUUUUCUCAUUCCUAAAAAGCAUGAGGAAUAAGUGCUGGGUAAGACGGGUGCCAGCCGCCGCGGUAACACCCGCAGCACAAGUGGUGGUCACUUUUAUUGAGCCUAAAGCGUUCGUAGCCGGUUUUGUAAAUCUUUAGAUAAAGCCUGAAGCUUAACUCCAGAAAGUCUGAAGAGACUGCAAGACUUGAGAUCGGGUGAGGUUAAACGUACUUUCAGGGUAGGGGUAAAAUCCUGUAAUCCCGGAAGGACGACCAGUGGCGAAAGCGUUUAACUAGAACGAAUCUGACGGUAAGGAACGAAGGCUAGGGUAGCAAACCGGAUUAGAUACCCGGGUAGUCCUAGCUGUAAACACUGCCCAUUUGAUGUUGCUUUUCCGUUGAGGGAAGGCAGUGUCGGAGCGAAGGUGUUAAAUGGGCCGCUUGGGAAGUAUGGUCGCAAGACUGAAACUUAAAGGAAUUGGCGGGGGAGCACCGCAACGGGAGGAAUGUGCGGUUUAAUUGGAUUCACCGCCGGGA